GCGGCAUGCCUAAUACAUGCAAGUCGACCGCUGUGCUUGCACAGAGGGGCGAACGGGUGAGUAACACGUAUCUAACCUACCUUAUAGUCUGGAAUAACUGCGGGAAACUGCAGCUAAUGCCGGAUAGAAGUCCAUUGGAAUCACUGGAGGACCAAAGGCCCGUUUGGGUCGCUAUUAGAUGGGGAUGCGGCGUAUUAGUUAGUUGGUGAGGUAAUGGCUCACCAAGACGAUGAUACGUAGCCGGCCUGAGAGGGUGAAC
rnacentral:rRNA from 1 species